UAAUACGUAGGGUGCAAGCGUUAAUCGGAAUUACUGGGCGUAAAGCGUGCGCAGGCGGCUUUGCAAGACAGAUGUGAAAUCCCCGGGCUUAACCUGGGAACUGCAUUUGUGACUGCAUGGCUGGAGUGCGGCAGAGGGGGAUGGAAUUCCGCGUGUAGCAGUGAAAUGCGUAGAUAUGCGGAGGAACACCGAUGGCGAAGGCAAUCCCCUGGGCCUGCACUGACGCUCAUGCACGAAAGCGUGGGGAGCAAACAGGAUUAGAUACCCUGGUAGUCCACGCCCUAAACGAUGUCGACUAGUUGUCGGAGGGUAACUCCUUCGGUAACGCAGCUAACGCGUGAAGUCGACCGCCUGGGGAGUACGGUCGCAAGAUUA
rnacentral:rRNA from 1 species